rnacentral:rRNA from 1 species
AUUGAACGCUGGCGGCAGGCCUAACACAUGCAAGUCGAACGGUAACAGGAAGCAGCUUGCUGCUUUGCUGACGAGUGGCGGACGGGUGAGUAAUGUCUGGGAAACUGCCCGAUGGAGGGGGAUAACUACUGGAAACGGUAGCUAAUACCGCAUAACGUCGCAAGACCAAAGAGGGGGACCUUAGGGCCUCUUGCCAUCGGAUGUGCCCAGAUGGGAUUAGCUAGUAGGUGGGGUAACGGCUCACCUAGGCGACGAUCCCUAGCUGGUCUGAGAGGAUGACCAGCCACACUGGAACUGAGACACGGUCCAGACUCCUACGGGAGGCAGCAGUGGGGAAUAUUGCACAAUGGGCGCAAGCCUGAUGCAGCCAUGCCGCGUGUAUGAAGAAGGCCUUCGGGUUAUAAAGUACUUUCAGCGGGGAGGAAGGGAGUAAAGUUAAUACCUUUGCUCAUUGACGUUACCCGCAGAAGAAGCACCGGCUAACUCCGUG